rnacentral:rRNA from 1 species
UUACGCCUACGGGACGCAGCAGUGGGGAAUAUUGCACAAUGGGGGAAACCCUGAUGCAGCGACGCCGCGUGAGUGAAGAAGUAUUUCGGUAUGUAAAGCUCUGUCAGCAGGGAAGAAAGAAAUGACGGUACCUGACCAAGAAGCCCCGGCUAACUACGUGCCAGCAGCCGCGGUAAUACGUAGGGGGCAAGCGUUAUCCGGAAUUACUGGGUGUAAAGGGAGCGUAGACGGUUAAGUAAGUCUGGAGUGAAAGGCCGGGGCCCAACCCCGGGACUGCUCUGGAAACUAUUCAACUUG